rnacentral:rRNA from 1 species
CCCUUAGAUGUUCUGGGCCGCACGCGCGCUACACUGACGAAUGCAACGAGCUUAUAACCUUGGCCGAAAGGUCUGGGUAAUCUCCAAAUUUCGUCGUGAUGGGGAUAGAUUAUUGCAAUUAUUAAUCUUCAACGAGGAAUACCUAGUAGGCGCAUGUCAUCAGCGUGCGUCGAUUACGUCCCUGCCCUUUGUACACACCGCCCGUCGCUCCUACCGAUUGAAUGAUCCGGUGAGGCCCCCGGACUGUGGCAACGGCUUUGGUUCGCCAAACUGAUGCCGCGGGAAGCUGUCCAAACCUUAUCAUUUAGAGGAAGGAGAAGUCGUAACA